GGACAAGGCCAAACCAUGGGUAACCAUGGGGCGGAAAGCCACGGGUCCAGCCCAUUAUCAUGGGCGGGACAGCCGGGUUGCC
rnacentral:ncRNA from 1 species